GGGCUCGUAGCUCAACUGGCAGAGCAACCGGCUCUUAACCGGUAGGUUCAGGGUUCGACUCCCUGCGAGCCCA
rnacentral:tRNA from 1 species